UUAAGUUCAGCGGGUAGUCCUACCUGAUUUGAGGUCAGAGUCAAAAAUUGCCCGAGGGCGAUUGUAAGCAGUCAUCACAACCUUCACCGACGAAACUUAUUACGCCGACUACGAUGCUAUCCCGCUAAGUCUUUUAAGGUGAGCCGGCAGAAGCGGCAACACCCAAGUCCAAUCUCCUCGGGUUUCCGAGGGAUUGAGUC
rnacentral:misc_RNA from 1 species